AGCUCACGUAAGAGUUUGAUCAUGGCUCAGGACGAGCGCUUGCGACGUGCCUAAGAAAUGCAAGUCGAACGGGGGAGCAAUCCCUAGUGGCGAACGGUCGCGUAACACGUGGGCAACCUGCCCUGAAGCGGGGGACAACGUUCCGAAAGGGACGCUAAUACCGCAUGUGUAUGAGAAUGGCAUCAUUCCACAUACAAAGCCUUCGGGCACUUCAGGAUGGGCCCGCGGCCUAUCAGCUAGUUGGUGAGGUAACGGCCCACCAAGGCUUCGACGGGUAGCUGGUCUGAGAGGACGAUCAGCCGGAUUGGGACUGAGAUACGGCCCAGACUCCUACGGGGGGC
rnacentral:rRNA from 1 species